GGGGCUGACAUGGAUUUGACAGCAGGAUGAUGGUUUGUGUAAGCACGCAGUGAGUCGGUGAUUGCUCACUAUAAUCCAUAGUUACCAAAGAUUUAAUUGGCGAAAAUACUUACGCUCUCGCUGCUUAAUCGAAGUAUAGUAGAUAUGGCUUUAUCAAGGCACAAGGUGCUUUGACGAGAUGUCACUCAAAGGCUCUUGCUCCGAAGCAUUUGAAUCAGUGGCACAGGAAAAUCGGGGAUAGUUGGCAAUGGCCCUGCAUUGUACAAUGAAGACUUUAGGGAUAAGGUGUAGGUUGGUGGCCCAGGUCUUGCCUGCAUCCGAAAAACCAAGACUGGGAUAAGCGUGUAGAAAGCACAGGGUGUCCCUGUUUGGACGAGGGUUCAAUCCCCUCCAGCUCCACUU
rnacentral:tmRNA from 1 species